UGACUUGAUUAUUUGUUUUUUGGGUGUUGAGUUUGAACUACACUCAGAGGAAGGUCACUUGGGGCCAAAGCCACUACAUCUCUGCUGCUGUUGUGGAAACAGUUGCCAAGGUAGAACAUCAACUUCAGAGUCGGGCAGACCUAGGUUCCAGCCCCAGCCCUGCCGCUCUCUGCAGAGAAGAUCCAGUGUAAUAGGACUCACCCAUGACCAGGCACACAACAGGGGGCUCAAUGCAACUUUACCUAUGAGGAUUGAAAGAUUGUGUGAAGUCCCGCCUUGCUUUUUUCAGCUCACUGAGACCAGGCUCAUUCCAAUUUCAAGAACUCAGACACUAAGGAAGAUUAAAAGAAGAUGACAUGGCCCCUACCCCCAAAGACUGUGAUCUUCUGAUUGGGAAGCAAUCCUGAAUGGUGUGUUAUGACCUCCCAUUUUGUAGAUGAGGAAACUGAGACUCAGAAAAGGGAUCCUGUCCUCCCAUAAACCAUGCUUCUGGCGGUGGAAACUAACAUGGGACCAGAGAAGCUGUUAGAGCCCCCACCACCCCCACCCCUCGCCAGCUUGCUCCCCAUCCGCCCGCCCUGACCUGCAAACGUCCCAGCACAUACACACACAACCUGCCUCUACCUUGUGGUGCAACUGACUCUGCAACAGUCUAUGAAAGUUUUAUUGUUCCUUCUUUUAGAAAGUUGCUGGAUCUCCCCAGCACUUGUAAAUAAUAUGGCGCUGCAUCCCUGCCCCCAAUCCGUCCCCAACUGCAGGCACCCAGAGAAACUGAAGAAACAUGGUCAGGGGAUUCUGAGAUCACAGACCUCCACCUGUAGGUUGAUGACAUACUGUCCCAUCUGCUACCACCUGUCAGAAAGAAUAUUCCCAUGAUUUCUUCUCCUCCCCAGGCUCAAGCUCAUGUCCUGCCCACUGACAAGAACUCAGUCUAGAUAUUACCUUCUCCUUCAAUCCUUCCUCAGUUUCCUCCAUCUGUAUAUGAGCUCACCAGUCUCUGAAACCCCAGAGUUUCACCUGGAUCAUUUGAAGGCAUGCUUCACCAUCUGCUGCUUCUUACAGUCAUUUGUGGAUCACCUGCCUUAGGGGAUUGAAGUCAGAGCUCUGAAUCUGUGUCCCACCUCUGCCACAUAUGACCAGUGCAUAAUCGGGAAACUGAGCUAAAAGAAGUUCAUCCAUAAAAUGGGGUUUCUUGAGGAUGAAAUGAGAUCAUCAGGAGGAAAACAUUUUGUAAAUGAUAAUAGGCUUUACCUGUGUGCUUAACUACUCUCUGCCCGAGCUUGCAUAUUCAUAAAAAUGAGGAGUAGGAAUAGUGUCUCCCUCUUGGAUUUGCAGCAAGGAUUAAAUGGGCUCAUGUCUGUAAAGCAAACUGAGCACAGUUCCCUGCCUCCGUCUCUGUUCCACACAUGAUAUGAGCAGAGCUGGAACCAUAGACCCGGCAUAGACCACCUCACUCUGACCACGAGGUUAUGCAGGAUUCAGGACACCUUUGCAAACACUCCUCCACAUGGGUGACUUUUGGCAUCUGGGCAGGAAUUCCAAUGCUCUGCAAUAAUAAUCAUCAUCGUAAACAGUUGGUGGUCCCUGUAUCUAGGAAAUUAGUUUUUAGGGGCCAGGUCUGGCUGUGAUAGAAGACUCCUCCCCCCACUCCCCCAUCUCUGCCCCAAACCAAAGAGAGACUGCAGAGCAUGUGUGUCUAUAAAACCACAGCUGAUCCUCAAAGCAAGAUGAAAGGGCCACCAUCCUGAGUGGCUGGCCGCUGCGUCAGAGCCAGAAAGUCUCCCUCAAAUGGGAGUUCGGAGAGCCUUAGUCCUCCAUGAGCAUUGUUAUCUCUGAAGUGCUUCAGUUCAAAUUUGGUAAAGAAAAUGAAUAAAUCAGUUUAGACUUUGGGUCAAGGAUCGGUAUAUGAGAAGGAAAAGAAAUCAUAGACUAUCAGAGCUGGAAGGAGACAGUUUGGACCAUGGUCCUUGCUGAGACCCUCCAAGCCAAGCCCCUCCCCCUUCCUCAGCAGCACUCCCUCUUUUCGGGGGAGGGGGUGGUCCACAGCCCUUUAGCACCCUGUGUCCCUAACCCUCUCCACAGCUGAUAUGACCAAGAGUGGGCCAAGCCAGGCCAGUCGGAUACUCGUCCUGGAACUCUGGAGUUGGAAAUCAGAUACACUGCAAUACCAGGGCACCCAGGCCCACUGGCUCAGCAAGCACCAAGAAGAAAUGAUCAUGCCAAGGAGCAAACCCACCAUGGGUUCCCUGGAAUGGAGGGACCCAGAGAGCCACCACCAGCACUCAUGCCUUGGAAGCAUUUGGUGGAUGACUGAGAAGAGAAGGACAUGGGCAACAGCUUCACCGCUAACCACACACCUGGGAGAAGCACAUCCUUCACAGCCAUGAGCUCACCAUCCUUUGCUCAGACGUCAAGGCUGACAGAGAGUCAGCAGAGAAGUAUUUUCGAGCUCCACGUUUGGCGCCUCUAUUCCCUUAGGCUCUGUAGCACAUUCUUUUGGCUUUGCCUAGUGAGACGGAUCUUGAUCCUUUGAAGGUAGGUUGCAUUUUGGAAACAUUCCUAAGUCAUCAAGAACCAGGUGCGGCAAAUUUGAUGUGAUCAAGCCGAGGGCAUGUUGCUUUGGGUCCAAACACAAGAUGAUAGAGUAAUGAAACUAAUUUUACUGGGGGGCUUGUAAAAUAGUACUAAUGGGAGUUCCAGUGAAUUGCUUGAAAUUUGAGUUUGCCACAAGCAGCGACUUAGAAAUAAAAGAUCUUGAGGAAGGUCAGAAUGCUGGGUUGUUCAUUUUUAAUUUCUGGUGCCCAGUGUAAUGCCUGACAAAUAACAGGCACUUAAAAACAGUUAGGUGCCCUGAAGGAGAUGGACCACUUUAUUUUUUAAUUGAUUGUUAAUUGCUGUGUGGCUUCGGCUCCCAUUCCUUCUUCUAAGACCCUCAGGCGAUUAUAAACCCUCCAGAAUUUUCCAUAAUAUACUCAAGAAUAUAUAUAUUUUGAAAGAAUGGUAAAGGGAAAAUAAGAGAUUGUUAACACUUUAAUUAUAUAAUUCAUAAAAAUAUUCCACUUAUAAAAAUGAAACCUUAAGUAUAUGGCUAUACUUUUGACCACCAUUUUCAAUCCUAUCCCCCCCAACUCCUCAGAGGAAAUGAAUUCAGUUAACAGAUUGAUAGGCAACUUUCCAAUUAUUCUAUGUUUGUAUAUGUACCCAUAUAUAUUAUACAUAUAUAUUAUAUAAAGUAUACCUAUCAUUUUUUACUAAAUUGUAUCACUGUAUGUAUGAUUCACUGCUUACAUUUUUCAGCCAAAUAACUUAAAACUGACCACUUUACAGGGGACAAAACCCAUUUAAAUAUUUAAGUUCUGGUUCAUUUCCUUUGGAAAUAAGCUCCUGACUUCAUAACCAAGCCUUCCAUGGCAUUUGGGAGAAUUUAGAGGAGGCUGAGACGUCAGCAGAUGCACAUAAGAACUUCCCCACGGGCUAGCCCUAGAAUUUAUCAGCACAGUCCUGCACAUAUGACAGGCCCUGAGGAAUGUGGUGGAUAACAUGGGCUGAUGUCAAACUCCAGGAUUAGAGACCUCCUACAACUUUCUCAUUGUCCUUCAUGACCCAUGAUGCAUCUGUCCUCCACAAACUUAUCAGGCUCCUUGAGAACAUAUUUCUAUUUCCAGCUUGCACCAUCUUCAGGGGAUAAUGAAUUCAAUGAGUUAUAUCUGCAAUGAGAAAGAUGUUUGCAUCCCCAUCAUCAUCAUCUGAUAUAGAGCAUUGGCUGGACUUUGUCUCUCAUCUUCACAUAUUUUCAUGGAUAUCAAAAGAGGAUUUUGCUUCAGGGAAAUAUGUGUUGAGAGCCUCUUGUUGCUUCUGUCCGGCAUAAACAGUAGAGACAAAAAAACUGAAGAUGAGAGCCAAGAGUAGAAUCAUUAUAACUAAACUGGCUGCCAUCGAGGUAGACAGAUCUAGUGGUUUUCUCCAACCUCUUCCCAAGGCAGAAGUCACACAUCUCGGCCAGGAUCUGUAACAGCCCCACAGUUUGGGGGAGGAACAAGAAAAGGAACAGAGCUAGAAAUGAUCUGGCUCUUGCAAGAAAAGCCUCCCUUGGGUGGUAUUUUAGGACAUUAGCUCAGGCUGCCCUGUCCUCAGUCAUCUUGCUAACAUUUAAGUAGCCCCUUGGGUUACAGAUCACGGCAGGUGCUGGGAAGGAAAGAAGGCCAUGCUAAAAAUAACCAGCCUCUUCUGGAACCCUGCCUCCAGCCGGGAACUCCUUCCUCAAGCAGCAGCACCUCAGAAAAAGAACAGAGUCUCCUCCACCUUGAGCAGUCAGAAAGGUCUGGUUCUUUCCUCCAGUGAAGUUAUUGAGGUAGAAAUGGUCCUCUGGAGAACAUACACUCAAAGAAGCAUUUCUACUGAGGAAUAGCAAUUUCUAUUAAAUCAGGAAAACAGGCUCUCUUAAGGAGAAACCAGGGUCCCAGCAGAAAGUGCUUGGGGAGAAGGAUUUUGCUAGUCAGCCAAGAAAGGGUCUUUACAAAAACACCGAAGUUCACUGCUUCUUUUCAGUCACCUGGGCCUACCUGUAGGCCUCCAAACCAAAUAAUCUCAACUGAAAAUUAAGCUGUUGGCCGUGAGUAUGGCAAAGUCGCAGGAACAAAAGUUUUAGAAAUCCCAAGUCGGAGCACACCUAACACAGCCGCCUUCCGAGAGCCUGGAGGAGUGACAGCUAGAUGUCAACUAGAGCGGGGGGCUCUGGCUUACCCACCUCCACGGGCCCUUUUGCAUCUGAUUUCAUGGUAUGCAGGGUAAGAGUGGAGUUCUGCCCACCACUCGGGAAGCUGCAAAGGUCACUCUCACAUAUGUUCCUGUUAAGGACAUCAGUGGAAACUUGAGAACCAAGUAUAAAAAUAUAAAAAUGAACAGGUGGCAUCCAAUACGAAAAGAAUGUGGGGUUUGCUGGGAAGUGAUGAUUAAAACCAUUCCAAAGCUGAAAUGUGGCCCCUGAGGCUGGCUCAAGUCUCUGGACUACAAAGUCUGUGGACGCUUUCAUUCAGCACAGCUGGAGUCUUGAGGAAGCACUAGCUGCUAUCCUGACCACAUAUUAUGUCUUCGUUUCCCCCCAGACAUACUCCUUGGAUUGAUUGGUGGCUCGUUCCUUUGCCAACCCAUGGGUUUUGAGAAAAGCAGGUGUAGAUUUCUAGCCAUCACCUCGAACUCUCCCCUGAAGCUACUAAGAACAAAUUUAAUGUGCCUGCCUUUCUCUCUUCAUGAAGAUGUCCUUCCUGUCCCAUCUUGAGCCAUCAAUGUGAGAGGAGAGAAAGGUCUCCUGGGCCCAGGUUCUCCCAACAGCCCAGGGUGGGGUCUAGGGGCCGGGGCCGCAGUACGGAGCUGGGCCCAUACAAGAUAACACACCCUUUCGGUCCCAGCCUCACUACUGUCCCCUGUCAACCACGUUCAUAUGUAGAAAUGACCUCUGGUGGCCCUCUGCUCUCUCCUCUUCACCUUGUAAUGUGUUGUGGGCUGGGGCAGGGUUAAUGGAAAGAGCACCAUUGCUGGGAGCCGGGACAUCCAUGUUCUUGUCCCUGCACUGCCACCUCCCAGCUCAGUGAUCCUGCACUGCCCUUGAUAUUCUAAUCUGUAGAGUGGGAAUAACAGUCCUCAUCCUGAUGCUGUCAUAAGCUGCAAGGAGGAGAUAAUAAACAUGAAUAAACUGUACAUACAGACGUUCUUGAGGCUGCUAAAUUCCACAAGUCAGGCUCGAGCAAUCCUUCACAUAGUUGGUGCUGUUGUAAGAAGAGAAGAUGUAAGGCAGGAAAAGCCAUAGGCCUUUUUUUGUACUGGGAGAACCAUUUUGCCUGUGCAAACCAUCCAGGUAGCACCUACACUCGGGGGCCUCUCCGCAGAGUCGGGACCAGCCGUGAGUCACUCAACAAUGAAGGAAGGAAGCAUCCACAGGGCCUAAAGACUUUUCUCAGAGCUCCGAACCCUUCCCGGAAGCAGAGCCUAUUUUCCUUGGGUCCUUGGUGGUGGUGGCAUCCCAAGCCCAUGAGAAAGAAAACUCCCCUGUGGAUGAGGAAGACACGCUGUAUCUUGCUCCAUGAGAUGCUGUAUCUUGUUCCAUGAGACAAUGAGCCAUGAGCAUAAUAACACGCUGCAUUUCAAAACCCAAUAGAAGAAGCAAUUGUCUCUCGAUUUAAUUAUAGAUUCUUCACUUUCCCUUAAUUGCUUGAGUCAGCACUGUUGAUUCUGGGGCAGUCACCAUACACAGAGCUAUUGCUAUGAAACAAGGUGUGACUAUCAGGUAAAUUGAGGUUUUGGUUUUUGCUUUAUGUUUUUAGACAAACAAACCCUCAUGUACAUAUUCAAGUAAGUGUUCCUGUUAAAGGUGUCCCCGGUAGCAAGCUUUGCUUAUGUUAACUCUCUUUUCUAACCAAAUAUUGGGAAAUGUCGUGUGGCAAGUAGGAGUGCUCUUAUGGGGGUAAAGGGACAGUCUAUUUAAUAUUAAAGCUCUCCGAGAAAACCUGAGAUAUGUGAUCCUCAUAGCUACAGGGGGCCCAGACAGCAUUUGGGACAAUGGUCAUAACACUGUUGGAAAUACACAAAUAAAUGACCCCCAGAGAGAGGGUUUUAUCUGCAACAUACAUAUUUUCCUGGAGGAAAAGAUCCAUGUCUCUAAUCCACCUUCCCUGACCUCAUAAACUCUAGUUAAAUGCUUUGCACACCAAAGGUGUUCAAUAAAUAUUUGAGGGAUGUUUGUCCUACCCUAUCACAAUACUUAUAUUUAUUAUUCAGAAAAUAAACCACGGAGUCCAUAUUUUCAAUGGAAAUAAAUCUUUCACUCCUA